rnacentral:rRNA from 1 species
UACCAGCACCCCGAGUGGUCGGGACGUUUAUUGGGCCUAAAGCAUCCGUAGCCGGUUCUGCAAGUCUUCCGUUAAAUCCACCUGCUUAGCAGAUGGGCCGCGGAAGAUACUAUAGAGCUAGGAGGCGGGAGAGGCAAGCGGUACUCGAUGGGUAGGGGUAAAAUCCGUUGAUCCAUUGAAGACCACCAGUGGCGAAGGCGGCUUGCCAGAACGCGCUCGACGGUGAGGGAUGAAAGCUGGGGGAGCAAACCGG